AUCGUACUCCUUCUGUUCGAAAUUACUUGUCAUUAAAAUGGAUAAAAAAGAAUGUAUCUAGAUGUAUUUUAGUUCUAAAUACAUCUUUUUAUCCAUUUUAAUAACAAGUAUUUUUGGACGGAGGGAGUACACG
rfam:Triticum aestivum genome assembly, contig: Triticum_aestivum_CS42_TGACv1_scaffold_579293_7BL